AACUAACUUACUACAUUAUUAUUGUUAUUUUAAUAUUAGGAGCUCUAAAGACCCAAACCGAAAAGAAUGCCUAAAGUGGUUUUCAAAAGAUGAAUUGACGAAUUUCUUAAUUCUUUUUGUUUCGUUGUAAUAAUUUGUCGUAUGAGAACGCUAACGAGAAAAAACUUUUUAAAUAUAGAAACUGCGUAAUAUAAAGUUUACUUAUGCCUAUAAAAAAAUAUGUUUUACAUUAAUUAAUAAAUUAACUUUUUAGUUUCUUGUUAAAAAUUGUAUUCUGUAUUGAAGUUUAUUUCUGAGAAUUUGUAAUUAUACCUAAGAUAAUCUAAUCCUACAUUGUAUUUUAAUUUAUAAAACUCGAUAUUUUAAAAUAAAUAUAUUACUUUUUUAUCGCG